rnacentral:tRNA from 1 species
GCCUCUGUAGCUCAGUCGCAGAGCGUCUGACUUGUAAUCAGAAGGUCGGGGGUUCAAAUCCUCCCAGAGGCU